rnacentral:lncRNA from 10 species
GUGGUAGCAGAGUCACUGCAGAGAACCAGACAAUACCAGGUUGCUUAUAAAAGGAUGCCAUGUGCUUGCUGGAGGUCCCAGGUGCAACCAAAUUGCUUGCAGCUAGGAGGACCUUGAAGAGAAAUGGGAUCAGCCCGCCAAACCAAGAAGGGUUAGCACUUUUGCUAGGAGAGCUGACCACGCACAAACAGAUGAGAACCAAAACCGAGUGAAGAGGAUUGAAGAUGAACCCACAUUUUAAAAGUUCUUGUCUGCUGGAGGUGGCAUUACCUGUGACCUCGCUUCACUUCUCCAUACAUGGCUGUUAUAGCAGAAAAUCCAGCUUUCUGAAGCAUAUUUCACGACAUAUGAUGAGACUUAUGUGAUGUGAGACCUGAGAAAACUAUGAUAGAAAGAAGCAACUCAAGUUGCAAGGAUAUUCCUCAUGUAUCAUGCAAGGAUAUUCCUCAUAUAUCAUAGACUAAGGUGUCAGUAUGUUCUUCAAGCUGCUCUGCUCCUGGGCCCAAGCUAUUCUCCUGCCUCAGCCUUCCAAGAAGCUGAAACUACAAGAACACAAGACUGUACCUGGCUUGCAAACACCAUUGCUAAUAAGAAGAUAUUGUAAGACUGAUACCUAAGAGAUAAGAGAGUCUCACUCAUUCUGUCGCCCAGGCUGGAGUGCAGUGGCGUGAUCUCAGCUCACUGCAACCUCCACCUCCCGGAUUCAAGCGAUUCUCCUGCCUCAGCCUCCUGAGUAGCUGGGACUACAGACAGGGUCUCGCCCUGUCAUCCAGGCUGGAGUGCAGUGGCAUGAUCGUGGCUCACAGCAGCCACGACCUCCCUGGGCUCCGGUGAUCCUCUCACCUCCACCUCCUGUGUAGCUGGGCCCACAGGUGCAUGCCACCACGCACAGGCCCUCCCUCCGUUGCCCAGGUGGGAGUGCAGUGGUGUGAUGUCAGUUCACUGCAACCUUGGCCUCCCGGAUUCAAGCGAUUCUCCUGCCUUAACCUUCCGAACAUGGAUCCCUGAGGUCGGUCCCCAAUACGACAAGACAAUUUGAUAUCAUAAUAGAACACUGCAGAAACAAUGCUGAGUGAAGAAGAGUAGAAAUGGGAAGACUUGGUUGAGCGGAAACUGAGUUCUUGAAAAGAGGAGAUGCUUGAUGAGGAUGGAGUCUUGCUCUGUCGCCCAGCCUGGAGUGCAGCAGCACGAUCUCAGCUCACUGCAUCCUCCGUCUCCCAGGUUGAAGGGAUUCUCUUGUCUCAGCCUCCCGAACAACUGGGACUAAAGGCAUGGAUCCCUGAGGUCUGCCCCAGUACUAUAAGACAAUUUGAUGUAAGAAAACACAGCAGAUAUAAUACUGAGUGAAGAAGAGUAUAAAUGAGAAGAUUGGUUGUGCAGAUACUGAGUUCAUGAAAAGAGGAGAUGAUUGAUGAGGCCAGGUGCGGUGACUCAUGCCUGUAAUCCCUGCACUUUGGGAGGCUGCGGCGGGCGGAUCACCUGAGGUCAGGAGUUCGAGACCAGCCUGGGAGACAGAGCAUGGAAACCUAAGGUCUGUACCCAAAACUACAGGACUAUUUGACAUCAUAAUAAAACACUGCAGAUAUGAUGCUGAGUAAGAGUAGAAAUGGGAAGACUUGGUUGUGCAGUAACUGAGUUCUUGAAAAGAGGAGAUGCUUGAUGAGGGCAUGGAUCACUAAGGUCUGUUCCCAAUACAAGAAGACUCUUUGACAUCAUAAUAAAAUACUGCAGAUACGAUGCUGAGUGAAAAAGAGUAGAAAUGGGAAGACUUGGUUGUGCAGAAACUGAGUUCUUAAAGAGAGGAGAUACUUUAUGAGGCUUGGUCCGGAGAGCUGCCUUGGACUCUCCAAUGCAGCUGCCUCUGUUACCUUGACUCGUCUCAGAUUUCAUUGACCCAAGAUGGGUCCUGGCACUAGGAAUGUAAGACUGUCUCCAUUCUUUUGGCUUGUUCCAGAGAAGCCCAUGCAAGGUUCCUACUGACCAUAUGUUUCUUUCUUUUCUUUUGUUUUUUGAGACGGAGUUUCGCUGUUGUUGCCCAGGCUGGAGUGCAAUGGCGCGAUCUCCGCUCACUGCAACAUCCGCCUCCCGGACUCAAGCGAUUCUCCUGCCUCAGCCUCCCGAGUAGCUGGGAUUACAGGCAUGCGCCACCACGCCCGGCUAAUUUUGUAUUUCUAGUAGAGUUAGAGUUUCUCCAUAUUGGUCAGGCUGGUUUCGAACUCCUGGCCUCAGGUGAUCUGCCCUCCUUGGCCUCCCAAAGCGCUGGGAUUAUAGGCGUGAGCCACCGCCCCCGGCCUUGACCAUAUGUUUUAUUUCUAGCUUUGAUGUCUGGGCAUCGAUUUCCCUCGGUUAAACUAUUUGCUCAAUGUUAAGGCCACUCUGUAGAAAUUUGUCUGUGUAACUGAGGUGCUAUGCAGGCCUGCCUGUGUGACUGUCAUGCAGGCCUGUCUGUGUGAUUGUCAGGGAGAAUUGGUCUGCCACAAUCCUUUUCUAAGCAUAGCCAAUAGAGGUAGUUAGGCAUAAUUUGUAUAUUACAGAAAUUGCCUUACAGAGAGUAACACAUUUCUAUACUCUCCUUCCAUAACAGACACUUAAAAAAACAAAAAAAGUAAUGUAUGCUUGCUGUGGACCUCAUUUAAGAUUGCAACAGAAGCACUUUUCAAUACUAUUAAACAGCUUUUUACUUUCCAUAUUUUAAGCUUUUUAAUUUAUUAUUUAUUUUCUUAAUUUUCUAUUUUUAAUUUUUUGAUACAUUAUAUUUGUAUAUAUUUAAGGGUACAUGUGAAAUUUUGUUACAUGCAUACAAUGUGUAAUAAUCAAUUCAUGAUAUUUAAGUUACCUAUCAACAAAGUAUUUAUCAUUUCUAUGUGUUGGGUACAUUUCAAGUCCUUUCUUCCAGCUAUUUUAAAACUACAGAAAAGUGUUGAUUAUAGUCACCUUACUCUUCUAUCAAAGUUUAGAACUUAUUUUUUCUAACUGUAUGUUUCUACGCAUUAACCAACUCUCUUCAGCCCCACUGCCCUCCCGCAAAUACACCCUUUCCUGUCUCUGGUAUCUAUCAUUCCACGCUCCACCUCCAUGCCAACAAGUAUUUUAGCUCCUACAGAUGAAUGAGAGCUAUAUUUUCCUUUCUGUGCCUGGCUUAUUUCACUUAACAUAAUGAUCUUCAGUUCCAUCCAAGUUGCUGCAAAUACAUCAUUUCAUUUUUUUAAUGGCUGAAGAGUAUUCCAUUUUGUAUAUAUAGACUGCAUAUUCUAGGUUUUCCAGUUCGUUAGUGUAUAGUCGUUCAUAAUACUCUCUGAUGAUCUUUUGUAUUUCUGUGGUAUCAGUGGUAAUCUCUCCUUUGCCAUUUCUGAUUUUGUUUAUUUGGGUCUGUUCUUUUCUUGGUUAGUCUAGCUAGUGGUUUAUCAGGUUCAUAUGUGUGUGUGUGUGUGUAUAUAUAUAUAUAAAUAUAAAACUGUCACCCAGGCUGGAGUGCAGUGGUGUGAUCUUGGCUCACUGCAACCUCCAUCUCCUGGGUUCAAGCGAUUCUUGUGCCUCAGCCUCCCUAGUAGCUGAGUUUACAGGCGUGCGCCACCAUGCCUGGCUACUUUUUUUAUUUCUAGUAGAGAUGAGAUUUCACCAUUUUGGCCACGCUGAUCUCGAACUCCUGACCUCAAGUGAUUCACCCGUCUUGGCCUCCCGAAGUGCUGGGAUUACAGGAGUGAGCCAUCGCGCCCAGCAGUUUUGUUUAUAUUUUCAAAGAACCAAUUUUUCAUUUUGUUGAUCCUUUGUGUUGGUUUUUCAUCUCUAUUUUGUUUAGUUCUGCUUUGAUCUGUAUUAUUUAUUGAUCCAUGUUACCAUGGUUUUUUUUUAGUAGAAAAUAGCUUUUAUUUAUACAUGGAUUCAGAAAAUAAGGAAAUACUCUCAAAAAGAAAAACACUGAUAUAAAUGGACCAUGCCAUAAUAAGC